GCGCCCGUGGCUCGGUCGGAUAGAGCACCCGCCUUCCAAGCGGGCGGUCGCAGGUUGCCAGGCGCA
rnacentral:tRNA from 1 species